ensembl:lncRNA
CGGUGUUAGGAUUCAGUGUGGCAGCAAGGGAAAUCAGUGGAAUCUGGGCCAUCUGGGAAAAGGGCAGUCGGUGAAAACCGGCACUAAACCGGCAAGAAUCCCGGCGAAGUGUCCACCGUGACACCGCAGAAGCUCCCGGCGGACUCCUCUGUCCCGUCUCCCGCUGCUGGCUGCGGUUUUUCCUCCCUGGAUCCGCACAGUCAGAGUCUGGUUGAGAUGAGAGACCUGUCCAAGAGGCGAGCAGAAGUUACACCAAAACUGGAGACACAGAUUCCUUUGUGGGGUUGUGUCAGAAACCAAGCAUGCAGAGCUGUGGCGACUCCUUGGCCCCAUCCAGAUAGCAGCUGGUGUCAUCUGCAUAGCAACAAAAACGUGUGAAGUCUUAUCUAAUAAUAUUAGCUGGAUCAAUGGAAAAACAACGUCUGUGGGUGGACGUGGCCAUCAACAAUAUCCCCCACACCAGCAGCAUGGACAGGAUGAAUCCAUGCUGAUCCUACUGGACAAAUGUCACGGCAGAUUUUCAGACCCAUAUCACCAGGAAACAUUUUCAAACUUCUCCAUUUUG